GGAAGAUUUGGUAGUUUUUUUCGUUGUUUUUGUUUUCGUUCUGUGAUGAUGUGGGGGGGACUCUCCAGGGACAUCAUGCGUCACAGAGCAGGGAAGAGGGGGUGGUGAAGGCAGGCAUGAGCAGGUAGGAGAAUGUCACCCUGUCACUGAUGUCAUAGGGCAGAACUGGGGAUCGAGAGAACAGAAGUCAAGGCAUGGAAAGGGUCAGGUGACUGUCUUGCCCUUCUCACCUCCUUCUCGGGGGACACAGACGGCCCCAUCUAGCUACCAGGAGAGCUGUUUACAUGGAAUCCAAGUUGCCUGCCAGGGGCAGAGCACGUUUUUCCACAGCUGCUGAGAAAGACGAGUGAGUCAAGACAGAAUAACAAAAAGCCACUUCAAAAACACACCAGAAGAAGUACGAAGCUGAGACAAUCACAGGUUUGAAACAUCCCCUCCUCCCAAAGCCCUGACUAGAGAGUGUAAAAACAAGUCUCAAGGGAGCCUCUGGGCCCUGCAGGUUUCGAGCCUCCUCGUGGUUGCUGACUUGAGAACUGGGCCUGUCCCUGUACUUCUGAGAGGAGCCAGGAGUUGAUGUUGUGGGGGCUCAGAAACCUGAGUUCUGAGAACUGUGGGACUGAGAGGGGGACAGCCCCUAGGUUCUCAGUGUCUCUGGGAAGCUGAGUGGUGGUGGUGGUGGUGGGGCUGUGGGAAAAGGCAGGGCCAGGCUGGAUGGGCAAAGGUGUAGAGACUCCUCCUGUCUGGAAAACAGCUAUGGUAAAGAAGUGGAGUCCUGUCUUAUCUCCAGCCUCUGAGGAACUUACAGCCCCAGAAGGACAAUAGAGCCCAUUGAAGAGGAGCCUGGAGUUGGAGGUAUUGGCUCAAGUCCCUCCGACUGUCAUUCAGUUGCCAUGAGACUUUAGGUAAGUUACUAUCAAAUGAACCACAUCCCUUGCCAAAGUAGGGGCUAAGAUUUUUUUUGUUUUGGUUUGGUUUUUCGAGACAAGAGUAUCUCUGUGUAGCCUUAGCUGUGUUGGAACUCACUCUGUAAACCAGGCUGGCCUUGAACUUAGAACCCAGAGAUCUGCCUGCCCCUGCUUCCCAAGUGCUGGGAUUAAAGGCGUGUGUGAGACAGGGUCUUACAUGGCUCAGGCUGACCGAUAGCUGCCUGUAUAUUUGAGGAUGGCCUGGAGUUCCUGCCUUCACCUCCCAGAUGUUGGGGUCACAGGCAUGCUCAGUUACUUUGGGUUUCGAUUUUCAGUUUUCUUUUUUCCUCUUUUGGAAAGAGGAUCUCAAAGAUGUAGCCCAGACUACAGGUACCCAUGGUGCUGCAUUAGUUUAAAAGGUGAGAUCUCAACCCUUGGGAGGUACAACAGUCAAUCAGUCAAUCAAUUAUCAAUAAAUCAGUGUGAUCCUCAGUGUACCCCGGACAUUUUAAAUUUAACUAAUUGAAUGUGUGGGUGUUCUGCUGCAUAUAUGCAACAGGCCAGAAGAGGGCAUCAGAUCCCCUUAUAGAUGGUUGUGAGUCACCAUGUGAUUGAAGGGCUGGGAAUUGAACUCAGGACCUCUGGAAGAGCAGUCAGUGCUCUUAACCGCUGGACCACCUCGCCAGCCCUAGCAACACUAGCUUUUAAUACUCUUCAAAUGAUUCCAACGUCCAGGCAAGAACCCUGAUCCUCCCAGAACUUCUCGAAGUUUAGCGUGUGCAGGAAAUCAGCUGGUCUGGUACAGCUGUUUGACAUCUGCAGUUCUACUGAAUCCACAGGUGAUGCCCACGACCACACCUGGGAUGAUAUUGUCCCUGUUUAUGUUCCUGUCCUUGUUCCCUCCAAUGACACCGUGGGCAAGCGUUGUCCUCCCGCUCUGUUUUCAUGGGCAUAUCACCUGCCACUUGAAUUCUCAUUGGAUGCUGUGGGUCUGAAUCAGAUAGACAAUCCAAGAGGCUAUCCUGCUCCCGCGGGUAGCCAAGAGGCUUUGUAGCCCAGACUACAUGUACCCAUUGGGGUUGUUUUUUUUGGUUUCUUGGUUUUUUUGGUUUCUUGGUUUUUUUUUUAGUUUCAUAUUUUUAUUUUCUUCUAUAUAACAGAGUUGAAUAUGCUUUUUUUCUUACUUAUUCACUUUACAUCCCACUCAUUGAUCCUCUCCCAGUCACCCCUUCCUGCAAUCCUUCCCUCCAUCCCUGCUCCCCUUCCCCUCUGAGCGGGUGGGGGUCCCCCUGAUAAUUCCCCUACUAGCACAUCGAAUCUCUGUGGGGCUAGGUGAAUCUUCUUCCACUGAGGCCAUACAAGGUAGCCCAGCUAAAAGACUAUGUCUCAUGGACAGGCAACAGCUUUUGGGAUAGCCUCUGCUCCAGUUGUUGGGGACUUACAUGAAGACCAAGCUGCCAAUCCAGCCUGUGUAUACUCUACGGUUGGUGGUUCAGUCUCUGAAACCCCCCAAGGGUCCAGGCUAGUUGACUCUGUUGGUCUUCCUGUGGAGUUCCUAUCCCCUUUGGAGACCAAAAUCCUAUUCUUUCAUAAGAGUCCCCAGGCUCUGUCCACUGUUUGGUUGUGGAUGUCUGCCUCUGUCUGAAUUAGCUGCUGGGUAGAGCCUUUCAGGACAGCCAUGCUAGAUUCCUGUCUGCAAGUAUAACAGAGUAUCAUUAAUAGUGUCAAGGAUUGGUGCUUGGCCAUGGGAUAGGUCUCAAGUUGGGCCGGUUAUUGCUUGGCCAUUCCCUUAGUCUCUGCUCCAUCUGCUGUCCCUGCAUUUCUUGUAGACGGGAUACAUUUUGGGUUGAAUGUUUUGUGGAUGGGUUGGUGUCACUAUUGGAAGAGGCCUUUUUUUUUUUUUUUUUUUUUUUUUGGUUUUUCCGAGACAGGGUUUCUCUGUAGCCCUGGCUGUCCUGGAACUCACUUUGUAGACCGG
rnacentral:lncRNA from 1 species